UAAAGUUGCCUUUUCUUUUUUUGCUAGGCAAUGAGACAGCAGAAUAAAGAGAGAUUUAUUUUAAAAAAUGACAUAACACACAAAAACCCAGCUUCAUGUGGACUUAAGAUGCCUUUUUUCCCCUUUUGCGAUGCUAGUGUCAUUGAGCCGUAGUACUUCUAGGAGAAUGGGCAAUACAGUAAAAAAAAAUAUAGCUAGGAUUCUAGGCUCUUAUCUGGAAGUAAAGAUUAGGAGGUGUUUUCAUUCACGUAGGAGGUUGUCGGGUGCAUUCAUUCCGUGUUGUAUUAGCUUGUCUAAUGAUAGCCUGAGUCACAUGUUAAGAUUACUGAACAGUAAAAUUUUUGAAUCUUUAGAAGCCAUUAGUAACCUCUGGUUAUUGGGUGUAAUAAGCAAGCUUAACUCAAGAUUUUCCGUAGCUUAAAAUGUUGUUGUGAUCUGAAACAAAACAUUUAUAAGUUAAGUUAUCUUUAAUGGAUUGCUACAUUUAUUUGAUCUAUUUAAGUAUUGUAUAUGACAAAACAUACUUUGUCAUGUGUUUCUUUGCCUGGUUGAGUUGAUAGAUUUAAAUACUUGCUAUGUGGUGAAAACCAAACUCUAAACCAAUUGAAAUCAGUGCUUAUACUUAAAAGGACUGAAACCUUGAGAUGACGAAUUUUCAUUAAAAAUCCUUUGGACUGAAGUUGAAUAGUACAUGCAGUUAUUUGUAGAAAUUUGUUUUUAAUAUGGGAUUUCAAGUGGAUGUAACUCGUAACUCCUUUGUUACUUAAAAAUGGCUGCAUGUCUUGCUGCUUUCUAAAAGGCCUCCUGCAAACUUAAGACUUAGGUAUGUAACAUAUUAUUGCUUCUGAGACUCGAGAGAUUGUUUAUGAUUAUUGUCUCAUAAUGUGUGUGACUUAGUGGCCCAGUAAUAAGAAUCUGCUGAUUUCAAAUAUUAAGCUUGUUUACUGUUUGUUUUUAGGUAUGAUGGAGAGGAGGUUUUCAGUGGUGUCCAAUACAUUGUACAGAAGCAUUAAGCCCUUCAUGGAAGCACCAUCAGAAGUAGAAGAAUACUUGGUACACACAAGUGGAUUUUCCUGAAAGGUGUAAUGGCAUGAACAGUUUCUAACAAUGGGAAUGUCAGGUGUCCUGGUGAAAGAUUUCCUGGCAGCUGUAGUAUAACAGAUAGAGGCAAUAUUACAAGUAGGAAGUGGAGUGACUUACAUGGCUGAUGUAAAGAAAGGUUGGAAGUAACAAGCCUUGCUAGUGUAACUAACCAGUGCAUUUUAUGUCUCUGCAGAGAUGCUUGGGUGCUGCUUCUCAGUUGAAGGAAAAUGGUCAAAAAUGUAGGAACAAAUACUUUUAGCUUAUUCAGUGAUGAGUUGGAACGCUUUGUCAGUGCUGCCAGACAAAUGUGGAUGAUCUGUAACUGGAAGGAAGUGUAACACCUGAAGAGUUUUUGUGGUUUGGAGUGGGAUGCCAUGCUUUAAAAGCCUGCUGAGGCAGCUGCUGCAGUUUUGUUAAGCGGAUACUGUUUUCAGAAACUGCAUGUGAACCAAAAUCACUGUCUCUGUAUAUUUAAAAUAGACCUUUUCCCAAAACACUGAGCUGCCCUCUGUAGGAAGGGUAGCAGCAAUAUUAGAGAAAUGAGUGUUGAGCUUCAAUACAUGGAAAAAUCCCUGAGAGUAUUUGCCCUUUUAAAAUAUCAUAAGAGUAUAUAGACUUGCUGAUGCUGAACAUCUGUAAUAACUCAAAAUAACAGAACUCACAGGUAGGCCCUGUAAAGAUGGGGAGAAAGCAAAAUGGGUACACAUUCAAACCAAUGAGUCAGCUUUUUGAGGGUGGUGUCAUUCAGGAGAUGGGAGGAAGUAGAUGAGGUUGUGGUGGUACAGAAGCAUAAAUGUGAAACACUUGUAAGAAAAAUUCAAGUGUCAUGAGGAAAGUCAUGGUUACAGAAAAGGCAAGGUCUAAAGCUUGCAUUGCUGUCUGUAUCUAGUGAGGGGAGAGAGGAACUGGGCUUUUAUGGACUGCCACUUCAGCAUGAAAAGACCAGUGCCAGAACAGUGGAACUGCCCUUUGAGGUGUACGCUGGCAAUGUUACCUGCUUGCUGUGAGGGGAAAGAGGUCAAUAGUGGGAGACGGGAGUACACACGUUGGAACUUUCGCUUUGAGGAUUCACUUGAAAACUAAUGGUCCUGUAUCGUAGUAACAGCAUAUUUGCUGUAUUCAGCAAAUUGACACUCUUCCACAGAGUAAUGAAGGAUCACAAAUUGGUCACAGAUUAAGUUGGCUUUUAAAGACAAAUCAUUAUGUACAUAAGCUGCGGUCUGCUUUAAAGCAUGACUCUCAAACCUAAUUGUCAGGAAUGGUUUAUGAAGGAAGAAACAGAAUGGCAUGAUACCUAAAAAUUGAUAGAGCUACAGUUGCAGAAUCAUCCCAAAAUACAGAAAAAAUACCCUAUAGUCUUCAGCCAAAAAUGACAGCAUUGGAUGCCAGCAGCUCUCUUCCUUUGGAGAGUUGGAGGAAUUCCUAUAGUUCAUGAAAUGUGCAUAUCUCUAAAUGACAAAUUCCAUGAAAAGCCCAAUUUUCUGUCCAAGCAGUAUCAUGAAGUGCAAAACACUAGUAGUAGCAGCACCUAAAGCAUUGGGAAUGUCAAAAAUAAGUAUGUCUGAGUACUAAAAUGUACACUUAAGCUGACUGAAAUCCAGGAGCGUAUUGGCUCACUGAGCAUCUCCUAUGCUUUGGUUAUUGUUAAUAAGCAGUAACCAGCUACUUUGGCUAAAGGCUGCUCCUUUUGAGCAAGCAGCUGUGUAAAUCAGUCUAGCGGAUGUAUCAAAAUCUGCAGAAGUUUACUACGGAACAGCUUUCCUUUCAUUGCUUUCAAUGAUUUAUUAUUUCUGUUAAAUGUUACUGAGAAGGGUAAGUAUUUCCAUGUGCCAUGUUUUGUACGUGUUCUUUCUUGAAUAAAGAUGAGGAUGUGAAAAACCUAGCUGUUGCACAUGAGGUCUGUAGUUGCACCACGGUGUUCUUUGACAGCUUGUACUUGGCAAGAGGCAACGUGGCCUUGUUGCACCGACUGGUACAGCACAUACUGGACAUGUGAUACUCCACAUUGUGCUCAAGUGACUCCUGGACAACAAACUUCAUUAGUGAUUAUGCACUUCAGAAGUGGGAAGGGACCAGUUUCCAUCUUUUGCCCACUGUAGUUUCAUGAAAAGUCUGGAUGCUGCUGACAGCAUCUAGUGAAGCUGCUUGGAUGGUUAAGUCAGGAAGUUGCCAGUCCUAGCUAGGUCAGCCUCCUGGAGGAAAAAAGAUGUCGAAGACCAGAGAAAUAAGCAAUACAGCAGUGAUACUUGGUAAGUACUUUGUUAGAUGCUCUAAAAGAAUCUGUAUAUGACUUGCAUUACAGGGCCAGAAGAGUGUGUGGCAUGCAUUUUGGAGUGUAAAGGUACCAUCGUUUUAUCCUUUGGGCUGACACUAACAUGAAAUAUGGAAGCUUUUAAGGAGGUACUGCUAUGUCCAGUAAGGUUGAGGAGAAUGAGUUCACCUUGUGAUUUCUGGGAUCAAAGACUGAUAGAGUUUCAGGAUUGUGGGUGGCACUUCAGGUACCCAAAGUACUUCACAUCAAUGUUCUGUAUGUUCUAAAACAUUCCUUGGGCAUGGUCUCCGAUCUAGGAUUGACAGUAUUAGAUGGAUAAAGGGUGCCAGAGAAUGUUAUUAUGCCCAUCAGGUGAUUGAGGCCUAUUGGCAGUAGCAGUGUUUAAUCAUGAGAAAGGUACCUCUUACUUGGCAUAGAAAAAGGUAGAUGUGGCCAG